CAGACAUACCGUGUCACACUUAUACGGAUAAACAGACAUACUGGAAUUUUAACUCAGCAUAACAGGAACAGAAGUCCUAAUACAACACUUACAGCAACCAUAAUGAUGAAUGCAGAGAAAAAUUGUGGAGACUCUAAGACCAGUACCAGUCCUACUAUUAUGUGAAAAUGCAGAGAAGUGAUGUCUAGAGAGUAAUCUUUAAAAAUGCUUUCAAGGUCUUCCAUUUCACUUGUUGAUGAUGAAGUGUUAGUACUUGAUGAAGUUGAUGAUGAAGUUGACGUUGAUGAUGAAUUUGAUGAUGUUGACGAAGAACGUGAUGAAGAGGACAAAUUCGGUGAAGAUUUUGCUGAUGGUGAUCUAUCUCUGUUACAAGGACGUUUAUUUCCUUGAUCAUUAGUUGAAGUGCGAACACAGAAAAGACUGGAGAACUUCGGACUGGUAGAUAACACAGGAUGGCUGUAAACUGAAUGGUAAUUUUGCACAUAAUUUGUUUUUCUGCAUAAUGCUGCAAAUAGAUUAAUGAAAAUAAAAAGGACAAGCUGUAAUUGUACAUUAUCAUUUUGUUACAUUAACUACAACACAAUCUUGCUAUGCUCUGCAGACAUAUGGUUUUAGUUUGUCAUGAUGUACUACGCGAGGUUUCUGACGUAAACCUUGAAUACGGUACAAAAUGCUUCUGAUUUUUGUUAAAACUGUAUAGGGACCCUUCCACGGUCUCGUAAUUUACUACUUCGCCCGACUUUCCUUUGUGUGUUAUAAUACCACACCUGAUCACCUACAUCAAACUGUUGAAAGUUAGUAUCAAGGUCAAAUUUCUUUUUCAUGACCUCACUAGAGACUUUAAGUUUGUUCCUAGCAUAUUCAUGUAUUUCUACUAUUCUACUUUCCAAAGCAUUUACAUAAUCAGAACCAUA
rnacentral:lncRNA from 1 species